rnacentral:rRNA from 1 species
AUUGAACGCUGGCGGCAGGCCUAACACAUGCAAGUCGAGCGAGCGGCGGACGGGUGAGUAAUGUCUGGAAAACUGCCUGAUGGAGGGGGAUAACUACUGGAAACGGUAGCUAAUACCGCAUACCAUCAGAUGUGCCCAGAGGGGAUUAGCUAGUAGGUGGGGUAAUGGCGCACCGAGGCGACGAUCCCUAGCUGGGCUGAGAGGAUGACCAGCCACACGGGAACUGAGAAACGGUCCAGACUCCUACGGGAGGCAGCAGUGGGGAAUAUGGCACAAUGGGCGCAAGCCUGAUGCAGCCAUGCCGCGUGUAUGAAGAAGGCCUGCGGGUUGUAAAGUACUUUCAGCGAGGAGGCGUUACUCGCAGAAGAAGCACCGGCUAACUCCGUGCCAGCAGCCGCGGUAAUUC